AUACGGAGGGUGCAAGCGUUAAUCGGAAUUACUGGGCGUAAAGCGUGCGUAGGUGGUUUGUUAAGUUAGAUGUGAAAGCCCCGGGCUCAACCUGGAAACUGCAUUUGAAACUGGCAUACUAGAGUAUAGGAGAGGAAAGUGGAAUUUCAGGUGUAGCGGUGAAAUGCGUAGAUAUCUGAAGGAACAUCAAUGGCGAAGGCAGCUUUCUGGACUAAUACUGACACUGAGGUACGAAAGCGUGGGUAGCAAACAGGAUUAGAUACCCUAGUAGUCC
rnacentral:rRNA from 1 species